GUGCGGGGGUCGGGACUGGGCAGAGGGGGCGGGGUCCCAGUGUCAGAGGGUGGGUGGGGCAGCCGGAAGUGGGCCGGGUCUGCAUGGAGGCGGGGCUGGGGGAGGCAAACCCGCCUGGCCUGUUGAGGUUUGUACCAUUUUAGGACCUUGGUUUUAGUUUGCUUCUGAGUCGUCUUCUCAAAUUCUUAACUCAGAAAGGGAAAGCUUUGUUUUCUCAAGAAUCAAAGCCCACAUGGCUCUGCUCCCGGAGAACACAGGUCACCCUGGGAACUACCUCCACCCGCCAUUAGAAAUGGGGAUGCUGUUGAGAUAGUUCCCCUCUAGCCGCUCAACAAUAGCGAUUGUCUGGAGAGUGAAGCUCACCCUCCGGAAUACGCAAUGCAGAGAGCUCAAGGCAAGCCCAGCCCAUCAGUGUGGUCCUCAGUAACAGCUGAGUCUGGCGGAGCCUGGACGCCUUCUUGACUAAGACGCAGUGGUGGUGGUUGUCACCAUUUCUGGAGAAUAGCAGGGAGAUGGCUCAUUAAACUCUGCGGAGGCUGGGCUGGGCCGAGGCAGCGUGGAUUCCUUACAUACUUGGGUAAUUCACAAUCCUCCCUGAGGCCUUUAACUGAGAUUUCCAUUCUGCUUCCUUUCUGCUCCCCUCCAAAUCUGAGAGCUGAGUUGGGGCUGUUUUUUAGACAGUUUUAUUGAGGUAUAUUUGACAUCUAAUAUGUGGAGCAUAUUCAAAGUAUAUACUCUGAUAAGUUUUGACUAUGUAUACCCGUUUGAAACUGUCACUACCAUCAAGGGAAUAUAUUCAUCAUCCUCAGGUCUCCUCACUCCCCUUUGUAAUUUCUUGUGCCCAUCCCUCCCGGCCUCCCACACCUAAACUACCACUGAUCUACUUUCUGUCACUAUAGAGUCAUUUGCGUUUUCUAAAGUUUUAUAUAAAUAGAAUCAGACAGUAUGUAUUCUUGUUUGGUCUGGUUUCUUUUACUCAGUAUCAUUAUCUUGACAUUCCUCUAUGUUGUUCUGUGUACCAAUAGUUCAUUCCUUUUUAUUGCUGAGUAUAUUCCGUUAUAUGGAUGUCCAGCAAGUUAUUUAUCCACUCAUGUGUUGAUGGACGUUUGGGCUGUGUCUAGUUUUGGACUAUUACCAAUAAAGCUG
rnacentral:lncRNA from 1 species